rnacentral:rRNA from 1 species
GACAGAGGGGGCAAGCGUUGCUCGGAAUCACUGGGCGUAAAGGGCGCGUAGGCGGGAUGGCAAGUCGGUCGUGAAAUCCUUCGGCUCAACCGAAGAACGUCGGCCGAUACUGCCGUUCUUGAGGGAUGCAGAGGAGAUUGGAAUUCCCGGUGUAGCGGUGAAAUGUGUAGAGAUCGGGAGGAACACCGGUGGCGAAGGCGGGUCUCUGGGCAUCUCCUGACGCUGAGGCACGAAGGCCAGGGGAGCAAACGGG